rnacentral:lncRNA from 1 species
ACAGAAGAAGUAUCAGUUUAGAGGAGGGUAUCCGAAACCUCUAAAAAAUGCUAGUAUACCUUCAAGUAGAGGGAUAAUCCACACUCUACUAAGAAAGAACUAGCUCUGAUAUCUAAAGUUAGUGUCAGUCUCGACAAACUAUCAUGGACAUAAAAUACAGACUUGAAAUCUAACAAGAAGUUCAAGAAGAAGUGGCAGAACUAGAUUAAACAGAUGAGUACAAGAACAACACCAGAAAGGUGAGCUAGAACUCCAAGAGAUGUG